rnacentral:rRNA from 1 species
GAUUAACGCUGGCGGCGUGCUUAACACAUGCAAGUCGAACGAUGAAGCCGGAGCUUGCUCUGGUGAAUUAGUGGCGAACGGGUGAGUAACACGUGGGUAACCUGCCCUUGACUCUGGGAUAACUGCUAGAAAUGGUAGCUAAUACCGGAUACGACCCUCGGAGGCAUCUCCAGGGGGUGGAAAGAAUUUCGGUCAAGGAUGGACUCGCGGCCUAUCAGCUAGUUGGUGAGGUAACGGCUCACCAAGGCGACGACGGGUAGCCGGCCUGAGAGGGUGACCGGCCACACUGGGACUGAGACACGGCCCAGACUCCUACGGGAGGCAGCAGUGGGGAAUAUUGCACAAUGGGCGCAAGCCUGAUGCAGCAACGCCGCGUGAGGGAUGACGGCCUUCGGGUUGUAAACCUCUUUUAGUAGGGAAGAAGCGAAAGUGACGGUACCUGCAGAAAAAGCACCGGCUAACUACGUGCCAGCCGCCGCAGUAA